AGGAGAGGGAACUGUUAUAUUAUAUUUAAUCUACUGUCAUUUACUAAUUAUCUUGAAAAGAUAAGUAUAAAUGUUAGGUUCUCUGUGCCUGUCUUUUGACAUUGAUAACCCCUCUUGAGAUCUUUCCUUUCUGUGAAGUUUUCCUUUUUUUUCCUGCCAUUCUGUAAGAGAACAGUCUUUGGUUAGAAUAAAAGCCCCUGUUACAGGUACAGAUAUUGUUGAUCUUUUCCAUG